rnacentral:misc_RNA from 1 species
AUUGCAUUGAGAACUGUAGUACCUGUUGAUAAACAAGGUAUUCCAUUAAAAAAAUUGUCAUGACAUAACUAAUAUUCAAUAAGUAUUAGAAGUAUGUCCCAACCAGAAUUCCAAUUUUACAAAUCAAUCAUUCAUGCUUUGACAGAUAAAGAUGACAGCAGCGCCAGAGCUUUAGAAAAUGAUGAAAUCUGCCUAAUCAUCAACAUAUUACUAGAAUCCUAUAGCGAUGCUUUCUACAAACCACAAAUCAUCACAUGCCAA